rnacentral:lncRNA from 1 species
UACAACAUUAGGUCUAACUAUAACAUGCAUCUUUAACCCUUAACCCUUUUUAAAACUUACUUAAAACAUAGGAAAAGACAAGGAUCUACACUUACCUCUUGACGAUCUAAGGUAGAUGCGACCCAAACUUGUGGUUGAGGAGAAACGGUCUCCCAAACUUUAAAAUCUUUGAUCCAAGCUCAAAACUUCAAAAACAAGCGAAGACUCAUGAAAAUUUGAAGGAA